UCAAGUGAAUAAGUGCAUCAGGCGGAUGCCUUGGCGAUGAUAGGCGACGAAGGACGUGUAAGCCUGCGAAAAGCGCGGGGGAGCUGGCAAUAAAGCUAUGAUUCCGCGAUGUCCGAAUGGGGAAACCCACUGCAUUCUGUGCAGUAUCCUAAGUUGAAUACAUAGGCUUAGAGAAGCGAACCCGGAGAACUGAACCAUCUAAGUACCCGGAGGAAAAGAAAUCAACCGAGAUUCCGCAAGUAGUGGCGAGCGAACGCGGAGGAGCCUGUACGUAAUAACUGUCGAGAUAGAAGAACAAGCUGGGAAGCUUGACCAUAGCGGGUGACAGUCCCGUAUUCGAAAUCUCAACAGCGGUACUAAGCGUACGAAAAGUAGGGCGGGACACGUGAAAUCCUGUCUGAAUAUGGGGGGACCAUCCUCCAAGGCUAAAUACUCAUCAUCGACCGAUAGUGAACCAGUACCGUGAGGGAAAGGCGAAAAGAACCCCGGGAGGGGAGUGAAACAGAACCUGAAACCUGAUGCAUACAAACAGUGGGAGCGCCCUAGUGGUGUGACUGCGUACCUUUUGUAUAAUGGGUCAACGACUUACAUUCAGUAGCGAGCUUAACCGGAUAGGGGAGGCGUAGGGAAACCGAGUCUUAAUAGGGCGAUGAGUUGCUGGGUGUAGACCCGAAACCGAGUGAUCUAUCCAUGGUCAGGUUGAAGGUGCCGUAACAGGUACUGGAGGACCGAACCCACGCAUGUUGCAAAAUGCGGGGAUGAGCUGUGGGUAGGGGUGAAAGGCUAAACAAACUCGGAGAUAGCUGGUUCUCCCCGAAAACUAUUUAGGUAGUGCCUCGAGCAAGACACUGAUGGGGGUAAAGCACUGUUAUGGCUAGGGGGUUAUUGCAACUUACCAACCCAUGGCAAACUCAGAAUACCAUCAAGUGGUUCCUCGGGAGACAGACAGCGGGUGCUAACGUCCGUUGUCAAGAGGGAAACAACCCAGACCGCCGGCUAAGGUCCCAAAUGAUAGAUUAAGUGGUAAACGAAGUGGGAAGGCACAGACAGCCAGGAUGUUGGCUUAGAAGCAGCCAUCAUUUAAAGAAAGCGUAAUAGCUCACUGGUCGAGUCGUCCUGCGCGGAAGAUGUAACGGGGCUCAAAUCUAUAACCGAAGCUGCGGAUGCCGGUUUACCGGCAUGGUAGGGGAGCGUUCUGUAGGCUGAUGAAGGUGCAUUGUAAAGUGUGCUGGAGGUAUCAGAAGUGCGAAUGUUGACAUGAGUAGCGAUAAAGCGGGUGAAAAGCCCGCUCGCCGAAAGCCCAAGGUUUCCUACGCAACGUUCAUCGGCGUAGGGUGAGUCGGCCCCUAAGGCGAGGCAGAAAUGCGUAGUCGAUGGGAAACAGGUUAAUAUUCCUGUACUUGAUUCAAAUGCGAUGUGGGGACGGAGAAGGUUAGGUUGGCAAGCUGUUGGAAUAGCUUGUUUAAGCCGGUAGGUGGAAGACUUAGGCAAAUCCGGGUUUUCUUAACACCGAGAAGUGAUGACGAGUGUCUACGGACACGAAGCAACCGAUACCACGCUUCCAGGAAAAGCCACUAAGCUUCAGUUUGAAUCGAACCGUACCGCAAACCGACACAGGUGGGCAGGAUGAGAAUUCUAAGGCGCUUGAGAGAACUCGGGAGAAGGAACUCGGCAAAUUGAUACCGUAACUUCGGGAGAAGGUAUGCCCUCUAAGGUUAAGGACUUGCUCCGUAAGCCCCGGAGGGUCGCAGAGAAUAGGUGGCUGCGACUGUUUAUUAAAAACACAGCACUCUGCCAACACGAAAGUGGACGUAUAGGGUGUGACGCCUGCCCGGUGCCGGAAGGUUAAUUGAAGAUGUGCAAGCAUCGGAUCGAAGCCCCGGUAAACGGCGGCCGUAACUAUAACGGUCCUAAGGUAGCGAAAUUCCUUGUCGGGUAAGUUCCGACCCGCACGAAUGGCGUAACGAUGGCCACACUGUCUCCUCCCGAGACUCAGCGAAGUUGAAGUGGUUGUGAAGAUGCAAUCUACCCGCUGCUAGACGGAAAGACCCCGUGAACCUUUACUGUAGCUUUGCAUUGGACUUUGAAGUCACUUGUGUAGGAUAGGUGGGAGGCUUGGAAGCAGAGACGCCAGUCUCUGUGGAGUCGUCCUUGAAAUACCACCCUGGUGUCUUUGAGGUUCUAACCCAGACCCGUCAUCCGGGUCGGGGACCGUGCAUGGUAGGCAGUUUGACUGGGGCGGUCUCCUCCCAAAGCGUAACGGAGGAGUUCGAAGGUUACCUAGGUCCGGUCGGAAAUCGGACUGAUAGUGCAAUGGCAAAAGGUAGCUUAACUGCGAGACCGACAAGUCGGGCAGGUGCGAAAGCAGGACAUAGUGAUCCGGUGGUUCUGUAUGGAAGGGCCAUCGCUCAACGGAUAAAAGGUACUCCGGGGAUAACAGGCUGAUUCCGCCCAAGAGUUCAUAUCGACGGCGGAGUUUGGCACCUCGAUGUCGGCUCAUCACAUCCUGGGGCUGUAGUCGGUCCCAAGGGUAUGGCUGUUCGCCAUUUAAAGUGGUACGUGAGCUGGGUUUAAAACGUCGUGAGACAGUUUGGUCCCUAUCUGCAGUGGGCGUUGGAAGUUUGACGGGGGCUGCUCCUAGUACGAGAGGACCGGAGUGGACGAACCUCUGGUGUACCGGUUGUAACGCCAGUUGCAUAGCCGGGUAGCUAAGUUCGGAAGAGAUAAGCGCUGAAAGCAUCUAAGCGCGAAACUCGCCUGAAGAUGAGACUUCCCUUGCGGUUUAACCGCACUAAAGGGUCGUUCGAGACCAGGACGUUGAUAGGUGGGGUGUGGAAGCGCGGUAACGCGUGAAGCUAACCCAUACUAAUUGCCCGUGAGGCUUGACUCU
rnacentral:rRNA from 1 species